GAUGAACGCUGGCGGCGUGCCUAAUACAUGCAAGUCGAGCGAACAGACGAGGAGCUUGCUCCUCUGACGUUAGCGGCGGACGGGUGAGUAACACGUGGAUAACCUACCUAUAAGACUGGGAUAACUUCGGGAAACCGGAGCUAAUACCGGAUAAUAUAUUGAACCGCAUGGUUCAAUAGUGAAAGACGGUUUUGCUGUCACUUAUAGAUGGAUCCGCGCCGCAUUAGCUAGUUGGUAAGGUAACGGCUUACCAAGGCGACGAUGCGUAGCCGACCUGAGAGGGUGAUCGGCCACACUGGAACUGAGACACGGUCCAGACUCCUACGGGAGGCAGCAGUAGGGAAUCUUCCGCAAUGGGCGAAAGCCUGACGGAGCAACGCCGCGUGAGUGAUGAAGGUCUUCGGAUCGUAAAACUCUGUUAUUAGGGAAGAACAAAUGUGUAAGUAACUAUGCACGUCUUGAGGGUACCUAAUCAGAAAGCCAGGGCUAACUACGUG
rnacentral:rRNA from 1 species